rnacentral:snRNA from 1 species
GUGCUUGCUUCAGCAACACAUGUACUAAAACUGAAACAAUGCAGAGGUUAGCAUGGCCCUUGGGCAAGGAUGACAUGCAAAUUCUCGAAGCCUUCCAUGCUCUU